UACAGAGGUCUCAAGCGUUGUUCGGAUUCAUUGGGCGUAAAGCGUGCGUAGGCGGUUCGUUAAGUCUGCUGUGAAAGCCCUGGGCUCAACCUGGGAACUGCAGUGGAUACUGGCGGACUAGAGUGUGAUAGAGGAUGGUGGAAUUCCCGGUGUAGCGGUGAAAUGCGUAGAGAUCGGGAGGAACACCAGUGGCGAAGGCGGCCAUCUGGAUCAACACUGACGCUGAGGCACGAAAGCGUGGGGAGCAAACAGG
rnacentral:rRNA from 1 species